UGGUCUUCCUGUCUCCCUCUUAUGCUAGUGCCAAAGUUGGGCACACCUGGGACUAUCCAAGAUAAUCUCUCCGUCUCCCAAUUCUUAACUUAAUCGCAUCCACAAAGUCCCUUCUACCACAGCAGAGAAUUUCAGAAUGUCAGAGCAUCAGGAGACCGCCACAUUCUUUUAUUUGCAACCAUGUCAUUUCCGGAAGGAAGGAGCGGAGGAGGCAGCAUGGUCCAGUGAAAAGAGCAUAAGACUGUUCAAGGUGGCCCAGAAACUCCAAGAAGGCCAAGGAACUGCAGAGCAGCAGUGGAGGGACCCCACGAUGCAGGAUGUAUGCCCCAACUUUCUGUGCGCAGCCUGCUGCAGACCCGGACUACUUGCCAAGGGAGGCUCAGCUCUUAGGAGAAAAGGGGCUACAAGGGAAACUUCCAAAGCCAGGGCCCCCAAAGAAACCAGUCAGUUCUUGGAGAUGGGGUGUGCAUGUGUGCGUGUGUGUGUUUGGGGGAAUCACAUCAGAAAACCCUGAAGCAGGAGCAUUUCAACAAAAGGACUGCCACCGAGCCCUGACAAUGCCAAGGCCAACAAGCUAUCCAGGAGUCCCUCAGGCACAGACUUCAACAGCGGAUGUAACGGGCAAGAUCUAGAUUCUCAAAGAAAGGCCAUGGACAUGUGCGCAAUGAGAGCAGCUACCCAACUGCAGAGACCAGCACCAGUACCAGCAUGAGACAGGGGUGACCUACAGCCUCCACCUCAGCCCCACCAUCUCCCCUAGUAUGCAGAGAUCACCUCGAGAAAAGGAGAGAAAUAAACCAUUCUGA